rnacentral:rRNA from 1 species
CCUACGGGAGGCAGCAGUGAGGAAUAUUGGUCAAUGGACGAGAGUCUGAACCAGCCAAGUAGCGUGAAGGAUGACUGCCCUAUGGGUUGUAAACUUCUUUUAUAUGGGAAUAAAAUGCUCCACGUGUGGGAUUUUGUAUGUACCAUAUGAAUAAAGAUCGGCUAACUCCGUGCCAGCAGCCGCGGUAAUACGGAGGAUCCGAGCGUUAUCCGGAUUUAUUGGGUUUAAAGGGAGCGUAGAUGGGUUGUUAAGUCAGUUGUGAAAGUUUGCGGCUCAACCGUAAAAUUGCAAUUGAUACUGGCAGUCUUGAGUACAGUUGAGGUAGGCGGAAUUCGUGGUGUAGCGGUGAAAUGCUUAGAUAUCACGAAGAACCCCGAUUGCGAAGGCAGCUUAC